rnacentral:rRNA from 1 species
AACGAACGCUGGCGGCAGGCUUAACACAUGCAAGUCGAGCGCCCCGCAAGGGGAGCGGCAGACGGGUGAGUAACGCGUGGGAAUCUACCCAUCUCUACGGAAUAACGCAUGGAAACGUGUGCUAAUACCGUAUACGUCAUUCGGGAGAAAGAUUUAGAGGAGAUGGAUGAGCCCGCGUGGGAUUAGCUAGUUGGUGGGGUAAAGGCCUACCAAGGCGACGAUCCAUAGCUGGUCUGAGAGGAUGAUCAGCCACACUGGGACUGAGACACGGCCCAGACUCCUACGGGAGGCAGCAGUGGGGAAUAUUGGACAAUGGGCGCAAGCCUGAUCCAGCCAUGCCGCGUGAGUGAUGAAGGCCCUAGGGUUGUAAAGCUCUUUCACCGGUGAAGAUAAUGACGGUAACCGGAGAAGAAGCCCCGGCUAACUUCGUGCCAGCAGCCGCGGUAACAC